GGCAGGCCUAACACAUGCAAGUCGAGCGGUAGCACAGAGAGCUUGCUCUCGGGUGACGAGCGGCGGACGGGUGAGUAAUGUCUGGGAAACUGCCUGAUGGAGGGGGAUAACUACUGGAAACGGUAGCUAAUACCGCAUAACGUCGCAAGACCAAAGUGGGGGACCUUCGGGCCUCAUGCCAUCAGAUGUGCCCAGAUGGGAUUAGCUAGUAGGUGGGGUAACGGCUCACCUAGGCGACGAUCCCUAGCUGGUCUGAGAGGAUGACCAGCCACACUGGAACUGAGACACGGUCCAGACUCCUACGGGAGGCAGCAGUGGGGAAUAUUGCACAAUGGGCGCAAGCCUGAUGCAGCCAUGCCGCGUGUGUGAAGAAGGCCUUCGGGUUGUAAAGCACUUUCAGCGGGGAGGAAGGCGAUAAGGUUAAUAACCUUGUCGAUUGACGUUACCCGCAGAAGAAGCACCGGCUAACUCCGUGCCAGCAGCCGCGGUAAUACGGAGGGUGCAAGCGUUAAUCGGAAUUACUGGGCGUAAAGCGCACGCAGGCGGUCUGUCAAGUCGGAUGUGAAAUCCCCGGGCUUAACCUGGGAACUGCAUUCGAAACUGGCAGGCUAGAGUCUCGUAGAGGGGGGUAGAAUUCCAGGUGUAGCGGUGAAAUGCGUAGAGAUCUGGAGGAAUACCGGUGGCGAAGGCGGCCCCCUGGACAAAGACUGACGCUCAGGUGCGAAAGCGUGGGGAGCAAACAGGAUUAGAUACCCUGGUAGUCCACGCCGUAAACGAUGUCGAUUUGGAGGUUGUGCCCUUGAGGCGUGGCUUCCGGAGCUAACGCGUUAAAUCGACCGCCUGGGGAGUACGGCCGCAAGGUUAAAACUCAAAUGAAUUGACGGGGGCCCGCACAAGCGGUGGAGCAUGUGGUUUAAUUCGAUGCAACGCGAAGAACCUUACCUGGUCUUGACAUCCACAGAACUUUCCAGAGAUGGAUUGGUGCCUUCGGGAACUGUGAGACAGGUGCUGCAUGGCUGUCGUCAGCUCGUGUUGUGAAAUGUUGGGUUAAGUCCCGCAACGAGCGCAACCCUUAUCCUUUGUUGCCAGCGGUCCGGCCGGGAACUCAAAGGAGACUGCCAGUGAUAAACUGGAGGAAGGUGGGGAUGACGUCAAGUCAUCAUGGCCCUUACGACCAGGGCUACACACGUGCUACAAUGGCAUAUACAAAGAGAAGCGACCUCGCGAGAGCAAGCGGACCUCAUAAAGUAUGUCGUAGUCCGGAUUGGAGUCUGCAACUCGACUCCAUGAAGUCGGAAUCGCUAGUAAUCGUAGAUCAGAAUGCUACGGUGAAUACGUUCCCGGGCCUUGUACACACCGCCCGUCACACCAUGGGAGUGGGUUGCAAAAGAAGUAGGUAGCUUAACCUUCGGGAGGGCGCUUACCACUUUGUGAUUCAUGACUGGGGUGAAGUCGUAACAAGG
rnacentral:rRNA from 1 species